AAUACAUCCUACCACCUAGUGGUAGUUACCACUGCCCCGCUGCCAUCAGAUUGCAUCAAGAUCCGAUCUCAUCUUAACGGGUUAUGGGUGGAGGCAAGGUGGAUUUAUUUGGACCCACUUAAUUAGUUUGCUGAGCCCCCGAUUUUCUUGGCCUAGCCGAUCGUUUUGGUCGUCUGUAUAUAUUUAAGAUUGGAUCUGGAGGCAUGCAAUCAAAAUAACCUCAUCUCUCUCUCCAACUAGAUCUCUACGUCCAGCGGAUAUUCAACAAAACGGCUAAAGGAAAAAGGCGGGACAUGGCUCCAAUGUUCUCCAGCGCCGGCCUCCGGCCAUGUCCUUCCCCAUCCCUGCCAACUGUAAUGACGUGUUUCAAGUAUGAAAUUGGAUCGAAAAGCAAUUUCUCAAUACCUAGGAGGCGCAGAAACUAACAGGCGACUAUCGGCAUGUCAGCCGCGACGAGAACAACGUACGGCUGCUGCAGGCGCGCAGAUGCAGCCCUACUUAGUUGCGACGGCAACGACGACGAAUGGCCGCAUGUCCACAAGUUCAGCGGUGCAAGGGCAACAUACGGCGCACGACGAUGGCGCCGCUAAUGAUGUACGGUGGCGGAGAUCAUGGGAACCUCCCAUUGAGAUCUUCCGAUGAUCCAUGCAUGGCAUCACGUCUGCAUCAUGUACAUGCAUGCCAUUAGGUGCCGUGUACUACUUCAUACUGAUCUGAUCGGAUGCAUUAGCUAGAUGUCUAUGUAGAUACACUGUUGUAAAUCACGUUCACGGUACUCCUAUAUGUAUACUCCAUACAUACUUCUUU